rnacentral:lncRNA from 1 species
AUGCUUCAAAUGCUCCACCAUCAUCCCCAUCCCAAAAAAAUCCAAAAUUACAGGAUUACAUCAGUCUGUCUGAAAUCCUGUGCUGACCAGCUGGCCCCCAUCUUCACACAGAUCUUCAACAGAUCACUGGAGCUGUGCGAAGUCCCUUCAUGCUUCAAAUGCUCCACCAUCAUCCCCAUCCCAAAAAAAUCCAAAAUUACAGGACUAAAUGACUACAGGCCUGUGGCUCUAAUGUCUGUGGUCAUGAAGUCAUUUGAAAAACUGGUGCUUGCCCACCUGAAGGACAUUACCGGACCCUUACUGGAUCCUCCUCAGUUUGCCUACAGAGCAAACAGGUCUGUGGACGAUGCAGUAAACAUUGGACUACAUUAUGUUCUGCGACAUCUAGACAGACCAGGGACUUAUGUGAGGAUCCUGUUUGUGGACAUCAGUUCGGCCUUUAACACUAUCAUCCCAUACCUUCUCCUGCCCAAACUAACUCAGCUCUCCGUGCCCACCUCUUUCUGUCAGUGUAUCAACAGCUUCCUGACAGACAGGCAGCAGCUAGUGAGGCUGGGAAAAUACACAUCCAGCACUCGUAUAAUCAGCACCGAAGCUCCUCAGGGCUGCAUUCUCUCCCUACUGCUCUGCACAUCUAAUGACCCCUCUGUCAAGCUCCUGAAGUUUGCUAACGACACCACACUCAUCGGCCUCAUCCAGGACGGUGACGCGUCUGCUUACAGACAAAAGGUUGAGCAGCAGGCUGUCUGGUGCAGUCUCAAGAACCUGGAGCUCAACACACUCAAAACAGUGGAGAGGAUAGUGGACUUAAGGAGAAACCCCCCUGCUCUCCCCCCAUUCACCAUCAUGAACAGCACUGUGACUGCAGUGGAGUCAUUCAGGUUCCUGGGCAUCACAAUCUCUCAGGACCUGAAGUGGGACAUUUACAUUGACUCCAUUGUGAAAAAGACUCAGCAGAGGUUGUACUUCCUUCGCCAGCUGAGGAAAUUCAACCUAGCACAAGAGCUGCUGAAACGGUUCUAA